CACCAGGUCAUCUAGAACUCCGCACCUGAGCCUCCGGAGCGCCGGGUAGCGGCUGCAGGUAGGGAGGGAAAGACUCUGAGGCGGUACAGCCUGACAGCCUAACCCGUGUCCCAACAUCACCAGGUCAUCUAGAACUCCGCACCUGAGCCGCCGGAUCGCGGGGUAACGGCUGCAGCCUUAGGUUCCAGGUGCCGGCUGCUUUGCUCAGGCCUGCUCCAGGCUCACCCGGGGAAAAGCAUCCAGGAGGAGUGGCUGGGAUGCUCCAGGCCGGCAGGCAGUGGAGAGCUGGACACGAGAAAAAAGAAAACAUGCAGAAGGAGGGAAAAACAAAGAAGCCUCAGUGGAAAUGAAAGAGCAUGGACUGUGGAACAUUAAGGUUAGUGUGUUUUAUGUAUUCAUUCACAUUACUUCUUCCCUUUAUUAAAUUUCCCAGGCAACUUUACACUCCAUCAAUUUUGAACUGUAACUAAUGUGACAUACAUGUUGUCAGAGCCUCACUGCUGCUGGGAACUCCCAGUCCUGCCAUAACCCCAUUCUUCUCACAGCUCCCCACUGACAGGUUAAUCUUUCCCACCAUUGCCCUUUAGGCAUGACCCAUUGCCUUCUUCAUUUCCCCCCUAUUUUCACUGCUGGGACAAUGUUCUGCUUCAGCAAACUGUUUAAACAAGCUUGAGUGAGUAAGAGGUUUCCAAGUUAACACUUGGGAGGUGCAGCAUGGGACAAUUGGUUUAUAAGGGAAACAGCCUAAUGCCUGAAAUAGCCAUGGGCACUGCUAUGAGACAUCCCAGAUAAUUAAGAGUGAUCUGCAAGGCAACAGAGGAAUGGUGCUGCUCCACAGAAUGAGUGAUCUAAGGUCACAUCCUCCCUGAUUUUCCAGCACUGCUGUGAGGGAGAAGGAAAUAUUUAGCUUGAGCUGAUCAUGCAGAAAAAGAAAACAGCAAAGGAAAUGACAUUUCUAGGAGGCACCAGUGGGAGGAGCUGGAUCACAGGGUGAAGUAUCACUUCACUCACUCACAGACAGGCUGGUCCUGCUGACACGUGCCCAAUGGUACAGUCUCAAUGCCAAAAAAAGGCUGCUGCACUCCAAACAUGGGGACGUGUGUGCCACAUGAAGUGAGAAUUCAAGGAGCCAAAGGGCCAGCCAAGUGCCAAAGAUGGACUGCAAGGUACCAACAGAAAGAAAAGCCCAGGGUGCUCACAAUGAGAGGGGCUUAUGCCCACAGCUGAACUAAGUCUCACAUUUCCUCCCAUCAUGUGAAGUCCACUCCAUCCUCCUCCAGCUCCCCCAGUCAUUUCAGUUUCACAGUGUAGUCAGGAAUAGUAUUUCUCAUGCCUGAGGUGCAGAGAAGCCCCCAGCCACGUGUGCCAGUCAGUUCAACACUGCACACCCAGCAUGCUGUGCCCAGGUCUGCUGAGGACUUCACUCCCACAUUUACAGGAAGUUCUCCUACACUAAAACCUCAUGGGUUCACAUUUCAGAGAUAAAAAACUUGCAGGAAAGAAGCAGGUCUUGCAUCUGGCUGGAAAGACAGACAAAUAAAAUAUUCCAUAGGAAAAGAAAAUAUGAGCAAUGGGAGCUAUUAAAAUUGCUGCCCAUUCCUGGAAACUUGUGACAUGGACCAAUUUCCAGCCUUCCUUCCUUCACUGCCGUAAUGUAACGGAGAGAUUUAAUAAACAUUUUUACAGCCAAAACAGUCCUAGUCUCCUUGAUUGUCUCCAUCACUGAGGCUCAGUAUUUGGUGAGUCAGAAUUCCCAGUAUGGGAAGUUGCAUAUUUACAAUAAGACGUGGCUUAACAAUACACUGCACUUUGGCCAACAGAGAAACUUCUCUGCUUUUAUCAACAGGAGGAUGCAGGCACGACUCUUCAUGUUCCCAGAGUUUUUAACUAAAAGGAAUUUAUGAAACAAAAAUCCUCACCCAACCUCACAGACCUUGCCUUUAGACAGACUUGGGCUGAAUAAUAACAGUGCAUCAACAAAUCAGAAACCCAGGAUAAACUACAAACUCUAAGGUAAACAGAAUUUUAUAUAAAAGCACCUGGGAGAACAGCCAACCUUCAGGCUGCAAUCAGAUUUUGUUGUUGCAUUAUUAUGGUUUCUUAACAGAGAAAUGGUGUUUACUUCAAAAAUAGAACUAAACCAAAAUCAAAACCUUUAAUAAUUUUUAUCAAUCCACAAUCUUACCAGACUGUCAUAUGACUUCUCUCUGAUUCAACAGGGUUUGAAAUCCACAAUAGGACAGAAAUCACUGAAAAUUAAGGGGUUAUUCUGGCAAUUCAUCAGGUUUCUUUAUAAAUUGCAAAGGGGAUUUACAGAAAGCAAAAGAGCUUUUGCAUGUGCCUUUUAUGAUACAACAGAAUGAAACAUUUGCACAUUGAUUAAAAACAUUUUAAUUGAUUUUUUAACGUUCCCACUGUCUAGGUUUCUCUAAAAGAAUCAAGAUGCAAUUAAUAUUUAAUUGCCAUCAAAGAGAAUUUUAAUUUCCUUAAGUAUAAAAUAUAUUUACAAAAAUAUACUACUGCUGUGCAUAAAAAUGCCCACAGCUGUGAGAAGGAAAAAAAUUGCCAAAAAUUUAAAAGACUAAAAUAUUUUUAAAGAUUUGGUUUUUAAAAAUCUGUCUAUGUAACAUAUUUGUAGAAUUUAGCAGGUCAGUGAUUUCAGGGUUCUCUGUUAUGAGCACACAAAUCUCCAGGGCAUUUCAGGGCUGAAGACUUGCUCUUUUGUAGUUGCUCAGCUCUGUGGAAACAGCCUUUGUUAGCUGAAGGGACACAGGGAUUUCUGGUCAGCAGAGACACACACACAGGAGCCAGCCUGUGCUGGCAUUUAUUGAUCUGCACACAAAAAAAAUUCCCUUCCAAAUCCCACCAUGCAUUUGAGACAAAAGCUCUCCCUGAGGACAGGAGAGGGGGAAGGAAGAGGCCUGAUCAAAGUCAUUUAGGCAAUGAACCCUGCCAGGGCAAAGGUGGGAUGUGAUCCCACAGGCCACCCUCACCCUGAGCUGCUUCUGCAAUCCCACAAAUGGCCUUGGUCUGCACGACCAUCACCCAGUGAUGGCCAGGGAAAGCUGUCAUCCACAGGGAGAUAACAGCCAGACCUAAAUGGAGGGAACUGGUGAGACCUUUAAACAUGCCAGAAAGGAAAAGGCAUCUGGGCAGAGUCCCUGUUCUGUUCAACAGCCACUCCAACACAAAGAAUGUGUCCUCAGAGCAGUCACUUAAAAACCUUCCUAAAGCUGUGGACAGACAGUUCAACACACUGGAACAGGAUGGGGACAUAUGUUGCCCAUGUCUUCCUCCACACAAGGCCUGAUUUCUCCUACAUCCAGCUUUAGUGCUCUGUCACACAGCAGCUCCCCAAGUGCAGCAGCCCUUUGCAAUCAUCACCUCCCCCACUGCAUGACACAUGUGCCACACAGAGUGUCCCAGGCCAAUUCCCAGCAAUGGAAAUGUUCCUCAGAUGCUGCCAUGGACACCACACUCUGGGCAUGGCAGUCACCAGGACAGGCAUGCUGUCCCAGGGCCUGGCCAACACAUCCAUCACCUUCAGCACACACAGAUGGCAGCCUUUCUGCACAUCAUUUACAGAGUAGGGAGAAUAUUCUUGCAUCCUCCUGUCACAAACGAAGCAUCCUCACCAGUGCCCAGGGGCAGUUCCUAUACAUUGGUGUGGAAGUUUUGAAGUUAAUGGGCAAAUGAGAGAUCAAAACAAGCAGUUAUUCCAUGGAGCAGGCACAGGGCACAAAGCAAGAGGGACAAAGCUGCUGACUUCCUGCCUGUAAAUCACACUGUGUACCUCACUAUCUGAGGGAAAAAUCUUCAAUGCCGAGACAAUCAGAAGGCAGAAAAAGCCUCUGUGGUGAACUGCAGGAUUCCAAAGUCCUGUGAUGUUUUGCAGUGAGGGUGUCAGGAAUGAGUUGA